AAGAAAGAAAGAAAGAAAGAAAGAAAGAAACAGUAUGGCGGAGAAAGCUGACAAUAAACACACAGAAUUGUAUGAUUUAUUCUUUUUGUCCAGCGCCAUGCAUCGUGAAAGUAUUCUUCUUCUCUUUUGAACAAUUUUUAAUCGUCGUUAUCUCUUUGUAAAUCGUUAUCUCAUUUUGUAAGUUAGGCGUAAGGAAAGGUUUAUCGAAUAGAUGAGAAAAGAAGAAUUUUGUGAUAAAUCGAAGAGGUACAGUCAAGUGGAAGAUAAAAUGAAAUUACGUCGUGGUUUUGCCGUGGUUCUUUCAUUUUUAGGUCGCAUGUGUUAUCGAGCGAUUUAUAAUUUCCAUUUCUGUAGACAUUCGUUAUUUCUCUCUCUCUUUCUCUCUCCCUCUCCCCCUCCCCACGCCCAUCCCUCCCCCACCCCUCCUCAUCCCCUCUCUCUUCCGUUGAAGCCUUGAGUCGAGUUAGAAAAUCGAACUCAUCAAUACACGUAGUUACAUCCUCCGAUCAUUGAACGAGUUCGUCGCAUCGUUUAUUCAAAAAUUCCUGUUUUCGUAAUCAGACAGGCGUCAGGAAGACAUGGAGUGGCGAAGUGUGUCUUCUUUCUUUCUUUUUCUCUUGUUCUUUCUCUUUCUUCUUCUAUUUCUAUUUCUUUCUUUCACUUGGCUGUGAAGAAUGAAACUCGUGUUGAGCUAUAUCUGGAUGUGUUUACAGGAUUCGUAUCUAUCCGAUGCUUGAGAUUCUCGUCUCUUUUCUUCCAUUUUCUCAUCCCUAAGAGACGAGCGCGAAUGUACUCGAUUGUUUCAUUUGAGAUUGUGAAACACGAGAAACUGGCUUAGGGGAAGCUUUACACUGUUAGAGGAUAGGAUGCUAUAAGGGGGCGGCUACUAUACGACGUUUGGACACGAGAACGAUUCUUACAAGGACUGUUUCUCUUUUCCUUUUUUCUCUUUCUCGUUUUGGUCCAUUCGUUUUCUCGCUGUCCCAUCUUCCAUUUCUUUUUCUGCCUUUUUCUCAUUGCUAUAGGUACAGUACGAAGGAGUGGCAUCCAAGUUUCCGCGUUUCUGCGUUUUUACGUCCUUCAAUGGAAUUGAUUCUUUCAAGACGGGAAGAGCAAUUUUUCUUUAAUUCCGCCACGCGGAAAAUCGUACCCUCUCGGACGUUAUUCUGACUCGUUCACAAUCGUAUUUCCAUUGAGAAAAAAAAAGGUAUUCGUUAAAAUCCUACGAAUAACUCUUAUUGAUUUUACUCUUUGUAACGUGCAAAAGAAUUAUGAUUGGUUGAGGUAGAGAGAGAGAGGGGGAGGGGGAGAGAAAUGUUUAAAGAUAAUUAGUUUGAAUUAUAGUGAAUGAAGCGAGUAUAGGAAGUGUAUAUGUGUGUAUAUUUUAUGUGUUUAUGUGUGUAUAUAUUAUAUUAUAUAAUAUAUUAUAUUUAGAUUAAAAUUUGAUUUAAGACUAAAACAGUCUGGGUCAAUGGCAGCCUAGAUUUUUCAGAAUAAGAAAUUAUUCCUAUCCUAUUGAAGCCAAUUAAAGAUUCCUCUUUCCUUCGGGAUUAUAUAUCAAUACUAUCACAGACUACUAUUCGACCUGUAUCGCUACUGCGAAUCAUCGCCAUCGAUCGUGGACCUUUUCCAAUUAACGUCACGUCUUGGACCCCGGAUCGUUAUCCUUAUCGUUGGCUAUUUCUUGAAUCCGGUGGGCUGAUAAAGAAAGUCUCACGAAAGAUAUCUUUCUUUCUAACUUUCAUUCUUUUUUCUUCUCAAAACUCGGUCGAUUCUUUCUCUCUUUCACUCUCUCUCUCUCUCUCUGUCUGUCUCUCUCUUUCUCUUUCUCUUUCUUUCUUUCUUUCUUUCUUUCUCUUUCAGUUGAAUCCCUUUGGCAAAUCCACCGUCGGCCGUUUUCCAGGCGAAGGAAAAUACACUGGCUUGCACUGACACAUCGAGAACGUAUAUAUACAAAGCUUCUUUCGCUUUGUUUUAAGAUUGUUCAGGGAAUCGUAAAUGGUGAAACUCGACGUUACUUCAGAAUGCGUCCUGUUCGUUCGUGUUCGAUACUCUUUCGGCAAAUCUACCGUUGAAUACUUUGAAGCAGGAGUAAAGGAAGAAAGUUCAUGCGCGCAUUACUAUAUAGAGAGAAAGUUCUACGAACGUGCUUUAGGGUACGAACAAUUACUUCGAACCUGGAUCGUUCGAACGAACGAGGAAAGUUUAUAAAAAUCGUAUACUGCGAUGAGCUUAUCGAUGAAUCCUAAUGUCUUCGUUGGAUCUUCACGAUCAAUGAGAAUUAUAAAGAUAGAAUAAUUUUUUAUUAUUUUCAUCCAAAGUGACGAAAUUGUUUUUUUCUGUCUAUAUUUUUUAAACGUUUCAUAUGAAACAUUUCUUUUUAUAUUACAAUAGUUACUAAUUUACUUUGUAUGUAUAUCAAGUGAAAAAUUUGUAGGAUAAUUAAAAGUUGAACUUCGUUCGCGUAAACUUUAAUAGACGAUGGUAGCUCACGUUUUUAAUUAACUUUCAAUUACCAACGUCGCAAACUGCACGUCGCAAUUUCGUGUAGAUCGAAAGGAAUUUUAAUUUGUCGAGAAUCAUAUUUGGUCAGACCAAUUAGAAAAGCAAGAGAGGGAAAGAGAGAAAGAGAGAGAGGAAGAGAGAGAGAGAGAGAGAGAGAGAGAGAGAGAGAAAACUUCAACGAGAUAGGAAAACUCCAAGUAGAUAAUAUAAGAAAGUGGAAUUAUAUUGGACCAUUUUAAAGUGAAGUAGCUUAUAAUGUGGAAAUAAAAUGCUCCGGUUGGUCUAGGAUAGUAGAGAAUUGUCGAGAAUCAGCUGCUGUGUAGGUGUUGUAGUCAGUACAGAGAGAAGGAAGGGAGAGUGAUAUUCAAUGUGAAAGAUGUCUAACUGGAUAUGGAAAUCAUGAAUAUAUAAGGGGUGGCUUCAGUCGUACGCUAAUUCUAUUUGAAAAUAUUCGAUUCGGAUCCUUUCUCGACUGAUCUUUAUGCGUAGCAAAUAGUUACUACGACACGCACUCUAAUUUUCUAUUCCAUUAUACUAAUUUUCUUUAUUCUCUGACAUUCGAUUCCUUUUUUUUUUUUUACUUUUAAAUAGUAGUUUCAUCAUCAAUUAUUAUUUCGAGGAAAGCGACUAGUCAAGAUCGCUUUCAUUGUCACGCAAAAAGUUAAAAACACCCAGGAGCAAUGUUGCUGAGAAUCAGACAGGUAUCUGCCAUAUGUAUUUUUGAGGAGUGGUGCGUGACGAGAAACCCACGAGCACAAAUAUCCGUGUAUAUGCAUGCAGAAGCAUGAAUCUAAUUUACGAGAGAAGAGCACGUCCGCCUGUCGGACUGUCCGUUCCUAGGAAAGGGUUCUGCGAUCACACAGGAAUUUCUAAGUGCGUUCUCUUUACUUUAAAUUAUCAUUGUGUUCGUCGCAAUAGAGCUACUCUGUGUUGACGUUAAGUAUUAAUGGGAUAUCUUUCAUCACUUUACAAAAAUUAGUUAUUGUGAACGAUCAUGACUCAAAAUUACUUGUAUUAUGAAAAUAUCUUGAAGUAUUCUUCGUUCGAGAUAAGCUAUAAAAAAUAUUUUUUUUUUUUUCGAUUUUAGCUCCUUUAAAGUUGAUAAAAUCUCGAACGAAAAACGUUGGCUGUUCGAUAACGAAUGGAAAAAGGCGAAAAAUGUUUGAUAUUCGAGCUGUGAGAGUAAAUAUUGUAUAAAAAUAUCUUUUCGUUCGUUUUGAAAGUAAUGGAUAUUAAAAGUUUAUAAGUACGAAAGAAGCUGUGCAUUCCUAAAAGUAUUCUCACAUUGAGAUUCACACAUUCUUGACAUUGGAGUAUUCGUCGUCAUUCGUCGUUCUUUCUCGUCUUUUUUCUUUUUCGUUCAGAUUUUUAUAUUUUGAAUUUGUGAAAUUGAUGAAGAAUUUAUGUAUAGAAUACGAUCUUAUUAUUAUUAGUGCUUUUUUUUUU